rnacentral:rRNA from 1 species
AGCAGCCGCGGUAAUUCCAGCUCCNNUAGCGUAUAUUAAAGUUGUUGCCGUUAAAAAGCUCGUAGUUGAACCUUGGACCGGGCUGAUCUGUCCUCCUAAUCGAGCGUACGGAUUCGGUCGGGUCUUUCCUUCUGGGGAACCCGAUGUUCUUUAUUGGGCGUCGUGGGGAACCAGGACUUUUACCUUGAAAAAAUUAGAGUGUUCAAAGCAGGCCUUUGCUCGAAUACAUUAGCAUGGAAUAAUAGAAUAGGACAUGGGUUCUAUUUUGUUGGUUUCUAGGACCGCUGUAAUGAUUAAUAGGGAUAGUCGGGGGCGUCCGNAUUCGAUUGUCAGANGUGAANUUCNUGGAUUUAUUGAANACNAACUACUGNGAAAGCA